UACAGAGGUCCCAAGCGUUGUUCGGAUUCACUGGGCGUAAAGGGUGCGUAGGUGGUGGGGUAAGUCGGAUGUGAAAUCUCCGGGCUCAACCCGGAAAUGGCAUUGGAAACUACCUUGCUGGAGGAUUUGAGGGGGGAUUGGAAUACUUGGUGUAGCAGUGAAAUGCGUAGAUAUCAAGUGGAACACCAGUGGCGAAGGCGAAUCCUGGAAAAUACCUGACACUGAGGCACGAAAGCUAGGGGAGCAAACAGG
rnacentral:rRNA from 1 species